rnacentral:rRNA from 1 species
UGGGGAAUAUUGCACAAUGGGCGCAAGCCUGAUGCAGCCAUGCCGCGUGUGUGAAGAAGGCCUUCGGGUUGUAAAGCACUUUCAGCGGGGAGGAAGGCGGUGAGGUUAAUAACCUCACCGAUUGACGUUACCCGCAGAAGAAGCACCGGCUAACUCCGUGCCAGCAGCCGCGGUAAUACGGAGGGUGCAAGCGUUAAUCGGAAUUACUGGGCGUAAAGCGCACGCAGGCGGUCUGUCAAGUCGGAUGUGAAAUCCCCGGGCUCAACCUGGGAACUGCAUUCGAAACUGGCAGGCUAGAGUCUUGUAGAGGGGGGUAGAAUUCCAGGUGUAGCGGUGAAAUGCGUAGAGAUCUGGAGGAAUACCGGUGGCGAAGGCGGCACCCUGGACAAAGACUGACGCUCAGGUGCGAAAGCGUGGGGAGCAAACAGG